CGAGCGACCAUGGUGGCCCGGGUGUGGUCGCUGAUGAGGUGCGUGGGGGCGCCGGAGGGGACCCGAGUCCCCGAAAAAGUCCAUUUUUGUGGGCAUCCCUGUCUCCAGUCUGGUCCCGAUCUGCUCUUCGCUUCCCUUAGAGUCACUUCCCCUUCGUUCCCCGCCUAUGGGCCAGAUAGGGAAACUGAGGCUUCAGAGGGGCGGGGCUUCCCGAGGUCGCCAAUCCCCUCCCUCCUGCUUCCCAGCGAGCCCUUGGCGUUCAGUUCGCGGUGUCAGCCUCCGCCUCCGAGCCUCAGUUGUCUUCUCUGUGAGGUGGGAAUGCCGGUGAAUCCUGCCGCUGGCGUGGAUGAGAAGUGAAUGCGUGCUCGGAGCUGCGAGUGACAGCGGGCAGGAGGCGCCCAGGGACACUUGGUUUCUCCAGGGCUGGAAGGCUUCUAGAAGGUCAAGAUCUUACGUCUUCACUGCCCCUGCUCACUGUGGGACUUUGAGUGACCCACUCUCCCCCUCUGGGUUUCAGUUCAUCAGUUCAAGUGGCGUCCAGCCGCCCUGCCUUGCACGUUGUAAAACGAGUGCUGUAUAUAAUAGGGGUCUGGGUCGACGGUGCUGCACUACAGAGUGUCACCCUGUGGACGGUGAGCCCUCAGGAGGGUCUCACUCUCCCCGUGGGCCUUGGCCCCUGAGGGUGGCUGUCAGUGUCCGCUGAGCUUCUGCUCCUCCCGUCCCUGCCCGCAGGUUCCUCAUCAAGGGAAGUGUGGCUGGGGGCGCCGUCUACCUGGUGUACGACCAGGAGCUGCUGGGGCCCAGCGACAAGAGCCAGGCAGCCCUACAGAAGGCUGGGGAGGUGGUCCCCCCCGCCAUGUACCAGUUCAGCCAGUACGUGUGUCAGCAGACAGGCCUGCAGAUACCCCAGCUCCCAGCCCCUCCAAAGAUUUACUUUCCCAUCCGUGACUCCUGGAAUGCAGGUAAGGCACCCAGUUUCUUUGCUUGGAGGGAGACACCCCAGUCUAGCCCCUCUCCCCACUUCCUGGCCAUUCCUUUCUGUCCAUCCUCCUUCCUGCCCGACACGUGUCUCUUAGGGAUCUAAAAGGGAAAGGAGGCCGAGCACAGUGGCUCACGCCUGUAAUCCCAGCACUUUGGGAGGCUGAGGUGGGCGGAUCAUCUGAAGUCAGGAGUUCGAGACCAGCCUGGGCAACAUGGUGAAACCCCAUCUCUACUAAAAAUACAAAAAUUAACCGUGCGUGGUGGUGCACACCUGUAAUCCCAGCUGCUGCUUGAGAGGCUGAAGCAGGAGAAUUGCUUGAACCCAGGAGGCAGAGGUUGCAGUGAGCCGAGGUUGCACCACUGCACUCCAGCCUGGGCGACAGGGCGAGACUCCAUCUC
rnacentral:lncRNA from 10 species